rnacentral:tRNA from 1 species
GCCGGGGUGAUGAAAUUGGUAGACAUGUACGCUUCAGAGGCGUAUGACCGCAAGGUCGUGGGAGUUCAAGUCUCCCCCCCGGCACCA